AGCGAACGCUGGCGGCAGGCCUAACACAUGCAAGUCGAACGAACUCUUCGGAGUUAGUGGCGGACGGGAGAGUAACACGUGGGAACGUGCCUUUUGGUUCGGAAUAACUCAGGGAAACUUGUGCUAAUACCGAAUGUGCCCUUCGGGGGAAAGAUUUAUCGCCAUUAGAGCGGCCCGCGUCUGAUUAGCUAGUUGGUGAGGUAACGGCUCACCAAGGCGACGAUCAGUAGCUGGUCUGAGAGGAUGACCAGCCACACUGGGACUGAGACACGGCCCAGACUCCUACGGGAGGCAGCAGUGGGGAAUCUUGCGCAAUGGGCGAAAGCCUGACGCAGCCAUGCCGCGUGAAUGAUGAAGGUCUUAGGAUUGUAAAAUUCUUUCACCGGGGACGAUAAUGACGGUACCCGGAGAAGAAGCCCCGGCUAACUUCGUG
rnacentral:rRNA from 1 species